UUUGUUGUUUGUUGACUUGUUUUAGCUGUUUAUUGGAGGAGCACUCAAAGCCUAAUGCUUUUGAAAUUUUAUGUUUUUCUUAGAACAUGAUUUUCUCUAGUGUCAAGCUUUAAAAUAUGAAAGAAUUGUUUUAGAAGGUUUUUAAAUGGAAAUGAAUUUGAAUAUAUUGAAUCCAAUGUUUUAAACUUGCUCAAACAAUGAAACAAGGUAAAACUAGCAUUGGUUUUUAAUUUUUCACAGUGUUAAGUGUAACUUAGAAAGGAUUUUGAAGCUUAAAAUAUCAGACUUUGUUUUCG
rnacentral:lncRNA from 1 species